CGCCCGGAUGGGGUACAUUACAGUCGAUUGUUCAGCGCCAGACGGCGGGCACCGUAAAAACCUUUGCUCCGCGGACAAUGACCAACACAAUAAUAUUUUAUUCCAUUCUAUGGUGUCCCUGCUGGCGUACGCCGGCAGACCUGUUGCGCCUGCCUGCGUGAAUAGGUUACACGACGGACGUGCUUUGGGACCAGUAUUGUGUGCCCACAUAAUAAUAUUGUACACGCUAGUGUACCUGUAUUACUGUAUUAUGUUAUUAUUGUUUACUUAAAGACGUUUUUAUUUUUUCCCCAAGACGCUCCGAAACGAGUUUUACGUGAGAAUAUAAACGCCGCAUAGGAUAUUACGUUCAACGUGUUU